CCUACGGGAGGCAGCAGUGAGGAAUAUUGGUCAAUGGGCGGGAGCCUGAACCAGCCAAGCCGCGUGAGGGAAGAAGGUACAGCGUAUCGUAAACCUCUUUUGUCAGGGAACAAAGGCGGCGACUAGUCCCCGGAUGAGGGUACCUGAAGAAAAAGCAUCGGCUAACUCCGUGCCAGCAGCCGCGGUAAUACGGAGGAUGCGAGCGUUAUCCGGAUUUAUUGGGUUUAAAGGGUGCGCAGGCGGCGCGUUAAGUCAGCGGUAAAAUAGUGGGGCUCAACCCGGGCGAGCCGUUGAAACUGGGGGAAUGGAGUAUGAGCAGGGGACAUGGAAAUAGGGGUGUAGCGGUGAAAGGCUGAGAUAGGACGAAGAAAGGCGAGUGAGAAGGUAUGGGAGCGGAGCAAGACUGAUGCUGAGGCUCGAAAGUGGGGGUAUCAAACAGGAUUAGAGAAACGGGGAGUC
rnacentral:rRNA from 1 species